rnacentral:lncRNA from 1 species
UCCCGAGAAAAGCCAAGGUUCAGAGAAGCCCACCGUGGCUAUGUGUAGGUCCAGUGCUCUCUGGAAGGUCAGGGAGAUUGUCUGAGACCUGUGCCUGUCCCAGUCCCCACAGAGAGCCCCCUGCAUGGAUGAAGAUCAUUCUUCAGGCUUCACCAAGGUCUGCAUGAAGCACCUCUCGACUAGCAUUCCUCGCCCCUUUGCUCAGAUCCCAGAGCCCUGGCUCCCAGGACGGAAGGAGACUGAGGAGGGGACAAGAGCAUUCCUGCCAGUAGAANNNNNNNNNNAGCAUUCCUGCCAGUAGAAAGGCAAAGUGCCCAGUGUCAGUGGUAAGUGUUGUGAGGAGGCAUCAUCUUGAGUGACACGGUUAGGGCCAGCCUGUCAGACCUUUCUAGGUGUCCGGAGAAAGGUCAAUGUCAGGAGCUGCCAGGUGAGGGCCGGACUCCAGGCUGAGAGCUGCUGCUCAACAAAACCUCCAGCCAGUUGGCUUCCCUCAAUGACAUAGCAAGAUCCACCCUAUCCCCAUCCUCCCUACUGCCUUAUCAUAUGCUACACUUAAAUCCUAAACUAUAAAAUUUUGAGAUUCAGUUGUGACUCUCCCCUAUACCAUAAUGACUUUGCACAUACAGGCUUUCAAUUCAACAUUCUCCGUUGCCUUUCUUUCCAGUAGUUUGCCUACAGUUAGAUUCAUCAUCAUGUGAGUGAUGGUGACUUAUGUGACUACUAAUGAUAAGUCAUGCUUUAAUCUGAUAUCCAUGAUAUAACUAUUUAACAGAGGCAGUUCACUUUGGGUUUAAAUCGUGGCUCUGCCACCUGGUGCCCAUCUAUGAGCUGUGUGACUCUAAGAAAGUCUCUUAUCUUCUCUGAGACUGUUUCCUCAUCUGCAAAAUGGGAAUAACAGAGCUAUUAUAAGGAUGAGAUGAGAAAUGUAUAUGGAAGCACUGUGAAAACUCUUAUCACAAAGGAGGAACAAACCCUUAAAGUUGCAUCCUCCCAUGAGCUGUACUCACUUUCUCCAAUGACUUUCAUCCCAUUAAGGUAACAAAGCAGUAAUCAAUUUCUGUAAUCCCAAAAUA